UGUAAGCGUAUACCAAAGUUGUUGCAGUUAAAACGCUCGUAGUCGGAAUUUGGCAGUUCCGGAUGUGUGCACGUCGUGUGCGCACUUCGCGGGGAUUGCUUUUGUGGUCUUGCGUAGGAUGAGGCACUUUUAUUAGUGAACGUCCUCACGCAACCACUUUUUACUGUGAGAAAAUCAGAGUGCUCAAAGCAGGCAUUUGCCGUGAAUGUAUUAGCAUGGAAUAAUAGAAUAGGACUUGGUUCUAUUUUGUUGGUUUGUUGGGACUGAGUAAUGAUUAAGAGGGACAGUUGGGGGCAUUUGUAUUUCGGUGCUAGAGGUGAAAUUCUUAGAUUACCGAAAGACAAACUGCUGCGAAAGCGUCUGCCAAAGAUGUUUUCAUUGA
rnacentral:rRNA from 1 species